rnacentral:tRNA from 1 species
AACUCAGUUGGUAGAGCAUGGCGCUUGCAACGCUAGGGUUGUGGGUUCAAUUCCCAU